rnacentral:rRNA from 1 species
CCUGGUUGAUUCUGCCAGUAGUCAUAUGCUUGUCUCAAAGAUUAAGCCAUGCAUGUCUAAGUAUAAGCAAUUAUACCGUGAAACUGCGAAUGGCUCAUUAAAUCAGUUAUCGUUUAUUUGAUAAUACCUUACUACUUGGAUAACCGUGGUAAUUCUAGAGCUAAUACAUGCUGAAAAUCCCGACUUCGGAAGGGAUGUGUUUAUUAGAUAAAAAACCAAUGCCCUUCGGGGCUCCUUGGUGAUUCAUAAUAACUUUACGGAUCGCAUAGCCUUGCGCUGGCGACGGUUCAUUCAAAUUUCUGCCCUAUCAACUUUCGAUGGUAAGGUAUUGGCUUACCAUGGUUUCAACGGGUAACGGGGAAUUAGGGUUCGAUUCCGGAGAGGGAGCCUGAGAAACGGCUACCACAUCCAAGGAAGGCAGCAGGCGCGCAAAUUACCCAAUCCCGAUUCGGGGAGGUAGUGACAAUAAAUACUGAUACAGGGCUCUUUUGGGUCUUGUAAUUGGAAUGAGUACAAUUUAAACCUCUUAACGAGGAACAAUUGGAGGGCAAGUCUGGUGCCAGCAGCCGCGGUAAUUCCAGCUCCAAUAGCGUAUAUUAAAGUUGUUGCAGUUAAAAAGCUCGUAGUUGAAACUUGGGUCUGGCUGGCGGGUCCGCCUCACCGCGUGCACUCGUCCGGCCGGGCCUUCCUUCUGAAGAACCUCAUGCCCUUUACUGGGCGUGUUGGGGAAUCAGGACUUUUACUUUGAAAAAAUUAGAGUGUUCAAAGCAGGCCUUUGCUCGAAUACGUUAGCAUGGAAUAAUAAAAUAGGGCGUGCGUUUCUAUUUUGUUGGUUUCUAGAGACGCCGCAAUGAUUAACAGGAACAGUCGGGGGCAUCAGUAUUCAGUUGUCAGAGGUGAAAUUCUUGGAUUUACUGAAGACUAACUACUGCGAAAGCAUUUGCCAAGGAUGUUUUCAUUAAUCAGUGAACGAAAGUUAGGGGAUCGAAGACGAUCAGAUACCGUCGUAGUCUUAACCGUAAACUAUGCCGACUAGGGAUCGGGCGAUGUUCUUUUUCUGACUCGCUCGGCACCUUACGAGAAAUCAAAGUUUUUGGGUUCUGGGGGGAUUAUGGUCGCAAGGCUGAAACUUAAAGAAAUUGACGGAAGGUCACCACCAGGCGUGGAGCCUGCGGCUUAAUUUGACUCAACACGGGGAAACUCACCAGGUUCAGAUGAAAUAAGGAUUGACAGAUUGAGAGCUCUUUCUUGAUUUUUCAGGUGGUGGUGCAUGGCCGUUCUUAGUUCGUGGGGUGACUUGUCUGCUUAAUUGCGAUAACGAGCGAGACCUUACUCUGCUAAAUAGCCAGGCUAGCUUUGGCUGGUCGCCGGCUUCUUAGAGAGAC